UAUAAUAUAUUAUAGGUCUCCUCAGAGGAGCACAGGGUCAGAGUGAUGUUUUUAUUUCGUUGGUCAAGUUUUCAAAGAGUUGUAAAUAAUUUACUUUAAAUAACAAAACUCAUAUCCAUAUAGCUUUGCCAAACUACUUUUUUUUUUUUUUUUUGAUUGAAGACGUAAAUACAACCUCUGCCUUAAACUUGUUAAGUAUUAAUUGAUUCAGUAGAAUGCAAAAACUCUCAGCAAUCAUGGGCUCCUCUAAGCAGCUGACUGAGGAUCUGAAAAUGAAGCUGAUUGAUGCCUGGAAAGCUGAUAAAAAUAUUUAAAAAGAUAUCAAACUGGGCUGACAAUUUCCAAGAAAUGGUAAUGAAGAGGAACUGUGGGAAUCAAGGCAAAAUCUGGAAGACCAAGAACACUCUCAGAUCAAAUUGCCCAUGUGCUGUGCGGAAAGAUAAAUCCUUUCUGCCAUUCCAUGUAUCAGGCCACAUCCCACUGUGAAUAAAUAGAAAUGCUGCAAACCCCCACUCCACAUACCUCUUGAAGCCUUACUCAAACACACACACACUCAUACACUUACACGCAGAGAAAAACAACUGGAAGAUGAAAUUGACUGUGCCUACUGGUGUAUCCAAUGCACCCACAUACCUGGCUUGGUCCAUCUUUAACACAAUAUUCUGCUGUACUCCUCUUGGAAUCAUCGCCAUUGUGUUCUCCUGCCGAACUGACUCGGCUAAUCUUAUUGGUGAUGCUACGAGAGCUAAUGCGCAUUCCAGUUUGGCCAAGAAACUGAAUAUCGCCGCACUGGUCAUCGGAAUAAUAUUUUUCAUCUUUUUCAUCAUCAUUACAUCAUUGUAUCUACAGACCUAACGACACAUUACAAGGCAGUGGAUCCAAAUCUUACUCCCCAUUACGGUUAUAUAAGUGUCAUAGUAAAUGUAAACACUCUCCGUAAUUGACAAGGUGUUUGUUUGAUUGUUUGUUUUAUUCCAUUUCAUUCUUGAUAAACAAACUUGUACUAAGUUAAAUUGCAUCAUCAUUUCAUGACCAAAGAAUCAUUGUGGAAACUAUGGAAAGUCUGUAGAUUUACACUGUAUUAACCACUGUUACUACAUUGUUAUUUUUUUUAUAUGAAUAUAUUGUUAUUCUUUUUUUUUUAUAUGAAUGCAUCCUAAUUUGUUAUAUAAUGGAUGCAUGAUAUCCAAAUAAAAUCUGUUAGUCUUUACA